rnacentral:rRNA from 1 species
UGUGUAGGCGGUUCUUUAAGUUUGGUGUGAAGUCUCCCGGCUCAACUGGGAGGGUGCGCCGAAUACUGAGGGACUAGAGUACGGGAGAGGAAAGUGGAAUUCCUGGUGUAGCGGUGAAAUGCGUAGAUAUCAGGAGGAACACCGGUGGUGUAGACGGCUUUCUGGACCGACACUGACGCUGAGACACGAAAGCGUGGGUAAGCAAACA